CGUUUAUCUUGGUGGAAAUUGGUGAAUCGUCAUUCACCUACCUUCAAAUAUUUUAUAGCUUGGAUUACGGCAUACCUCUUCUAAGUUAUAAAAUAGUUUGUUGGGUCCUAGCCUUAAUAUUUCAUAUUGGGUGUCAUAUUAAGGACUUUAAAUCAACUAUCUUGAAUAUCUCCCAAAAGAUGUCUGUAAUAGACACCUAUGAUCUUCCCAAAUCUAGUGAAACAAGGUUUCCUAAAUGAAGAUGAUGUCCUUUGGAAAUCAUACUUCUUUCACCUCCUCCAAUUAUUCUCCCUAACCCACAAGUUCUUGAAAAGUUUAAGGUCACUCAAGCCCUAUUGGCAAGGCAAGGUCUAGGUGUGAUCACAUCUUGGAGAUGUAGUCACAUAUUGACAAGCCGGGAGAGUUGGGUGUCAAAGUCUUGAGAAAGUUGGUGGUUCAAUCACUUUCUAAGUCACAUAGUGAGUUCCUUUGGGACACCUAUGAAACAGACUAUGACAAGACCCUUAAUGAUCUUAUCUAUUUGCUAAGAUCAACUUCCUAAAACUUUAUGGACAUUGACAAUGAUGACAUUGGAUAUCCAGUAAAGCAUUCUCUUCCCAAUGGAAAGGGAUCGGCCAUAGUCAACUCGGUUGACCAAAUGGUAAAGAGAAAAGCUAAGUCUGUGAUAGUCUCGUGUACCAUUAUCAAAGGGUCCAUAUGUUUAUAUUGCCAAGGGAAGGGGCAUUGGUUGCGAAGCUGCCAAAUUUACCUAAGGAUGUUAAAGUCAAUAAGUUUGACUCUACUUCAGGUAAAGACCACUAUCUAACUCUGUUAAGUUUCUAUUCUGAGAUUCCUGAUACAUGAUGUGACUGGGUCACAUGGUGAUGUUUUAAGAAUCAAAGAAAAGUGAAGAAACUUAAAGAAAGAAUAUGCUGAAUCUGAUGGCGUAGAUGGAUUUCUAUCGCAUAGUUUGAAGAUCGGAUUCUUGAGCAACUUCUUAGGAGUUAUGAGAUAUUGCUUAGGAAUAGAUAACAACAAGUUUUCAUAUGGAUUGUAAGGAUAAGUUUUUCCGCAAAGUUUUAAAAUAAAAGAAAAUUUUUUUGAUUUUAUUUAUUUUAAAAUAUCCUUACAAUGGCUUUUGAGGAAAAAUUGUUGCUUAUAUGAUUCCAUUAAGAGCAAGAGUGGAAAUAUGAAAUUGAUUCUUUCAUUUGUGGUAAUGUCUAGAUUUACCAAAUAAGGAAAGAUUCUCAUCACCCAAGUUUCAAUUGGACCGGAACUUGGAAUCAUGCAAGUUGUAUAGCAUGAUGAAUGAGAACUUUCAAGUUUUGGAAAAUUAAGACUAAUUACUCGGCCACAUGGAUGUGUGAGUCAAGUAAAGGACUAAGGGAUCGAGUACACAUUCUUGUGCACUGAUUAAGUCCACCACAAAAGAUUGAUAAGACUAUUCGUCAUAGUUUACUAAAGCUCAGUAAAUAUGAUUAUACUUACAAGCUUAAGUGUAACUCUGAGACAUUGGAAAAGGUUCCAAUGUAUGGCAGGGCGAAUAAGAAGAAUCAAAUAAGGCAGAAGGAUAAAAGUUUCUCAAAUCUGAAAAGAUGGGAGAGUACUUUAGUAUCAGUUUUGUGAUCAUCUUAAUGAUUAAGAAACCAUAUCAAAAUUAGUUCUCUAAGGAAAUCUUAGUGCAUUCUUAUGACUAAGAAGAGGAACUUGAAUUGUUGAAAUGGUUAAAUCAAGAAGAUGAGUCAUACUUCGUUCCAAUACAAGUCUUAGAGUCAUACUCCAAGAUUGUCAUUUGAGUGACAUGUCUUAAAGAAGGUUUAAAACACUUGUCAAAUGUAAGAGUAAAAGUUUUCUACUCUUGUACAUUUGAAAUUGGUAAGUUGUGAUGUUUUGGAUAAAACAAAGACCAACUUAGGCCAAUUGGGUAAAGUGUUUUUCUUGAUUAGAAUCCGCACUAUCUCUUGGAUGUUUGACAAGGGAGUCUUAUAUGUCAAGAGGACAGUGGGAGUCUUAAAGGUCUUGAAAGUCUCAAGAACUAAUCAAGAAUAAAACCUGAAGUUCUUCACUAGCACACGACUUGAGGUUCAUAACCUAUCGUGUUGACAUAUUCUGUGCCCAUUCCAGUUAAAGUUGGCUUUGCAUAUGAGUUCUUAGAGUUCUCAAUUUGUUGCACAACAACUUGGAAGCAAUGGUAGGCCCUUGAGCUGCCAGGUGGCAAGAAAUUAAGAUUGAGUUCAGUCCAUAUGAGUUUGGAUUUGUCAUUAUCCUUGUCUUGUGACUAUGAUUUUGACAAUUCACAUGGAUAAGAACACAUACACCAUUAAAUCUAAGUGUCAUAAGGUUUCUCUCCGAUUCAUGAAAAUGAUGGUGAGGAAACACUUUCACUAAGUAGAUUUUAGCUAGAUAGCAAUUGUGAUAUUUGCAUUCUCAAAGUCGUUAGUGGAGCGCGUGUGGUUAACCGGCACACUAAUUUGGACUUGUGAGAAGUGGCAAAAAGGUCUAAACAUUAUGAUUACGGCAUCCCUCUUCAUAAUUGUUUAGAUACACAAGUGUGCUAUCUAAGGGAAGGUGUAUGAUUUUGAUAAAGUUUUAUCAAAACAAUCUAGCAUCAGAAAUCUGAACUUUGGUAAGAAAGUCAAUGAAGUAUUGAUUUCUAGAAGUCCAGCUGAUUUCUGAGUACAUGUCAAAGCUAGUGGGAGCAUAAGUGUUAUGCUAAUAAUCAUCAUGUUAGUGGGAGCAUGAUAAUUAUGAUAAGUAUUGCAAGUUAGCAAUGUUAAUUAUAGAAAACAAAAGUUUCAAUUGGGAAAAAGUUGUUUUGCUAUAAUUAAGGGAGAGGAAAUUAUGCUUCAUCUCAAAUCUAUAAGCUUAGAUCGUGAGGUUUUAAUCAUUUAGUCAAGGAUAUAUAUGAAUUUCAUGUUGGAAUGGCUCAACAUAAGGAAAUUCUGUAUAUGGGUCCAUUAUUUGCGUUCUAAAAUUCGAUUAUGAUUACGGCAUCCCUUUUCAUAAUCUGAAUUAUGAGAACUUGGCAAAUUGAAAUGGAAAUGUUAUAGCAAAAGACUGGUUUAGUCUUUAUGUGAGACAUCAUGAAUCGUGUCCCAUAUGCUUCGGAUAUAGGAUCGAUUACAUGUGCUAUAUUCAUCCGUUCUAAAAUUUUCCAAAUGCCUGGGGCAUUAAGAAGGGAAAAGGUUUAGAACUGGAUAUGACUAAAAGGAUUAAACAAUUGUCGAGGACAAUCUAAGGUUUACCAAAGAUUGGUUGCUCAAGGACAGUUGGAAGUAUAGUGAUAAUUCUGGAAGGACCAUAUUGACAUAAUCUGUAAGGAGGCAACUCUUGUUCAGAAGUGAUAGUCAAAAUGGAAUCUGGAAAUGUUUCAAAGUUAGAAUUUUCAAUCUGUUUAAGAUUAGGAAACUUAAUGCAAGAAGGAUGUUUCCAAGGAGCUGAUCUCCUUUGGAAUACUCUGUAAUGAUUGUUGUCAAGUCUUUCUGACUUUGUGCAUAAUCAUUACAAGAGGAUCAAUGCAUAUAAGUUUAGAAUCUAACAGAUUUCAGUAAAUGGCAUGAAUUUGGAAUUCUUGCAUUUGCAGUAAGGAUUUGGGAGUGUGAAAAGAGAAUCAUUGAAGUUAUGUUCAAUUGAUCUAGUUCACAAAGUAAAGAUCAUAGACAAACAUAGUAUGCAUACUUGGUGUGUGGCAUGACUAGUGUUUAAGAAAACAUAGUGUACAUGCUUGGAGCAUGGGACAACUAUUGUUUUAAAUUCAAGAAUAAAGUUGAUAGCUGAAACAGUAUACAAUGAAUAAUGUGUAAUCAUAUGGUGAUAAAUAAAAGGUGUUUUAUUUAUGUUCAAAGGGUUGAUACCAUAUUGGAUUCAAUUAUUAUUGUGUUUCACUUUGCAUGUUUUGACUUCCCGAAUAAACUAGGUUAUUCUUCCGGAAUGACUAAGUUAUUCAAACCAUCCACAGUCGGUCAUAUGUUGGAAGUAGAUAUGAAUUAAGACUGUCAUGGGUUGGCUUGUAGAGGUCUAAGGUGUUGGACAAAGGGCUACAACACUCAUGAGUGCUCAUAAGUUCUGAGUAUUGGAUUCAACCCGCGCUCAUUGGAAUCACUUCAUGGAUUUUAUCACGAGUGAUCAUGAGACGAUAAUAUCUUAUAUUCUUCAAACCUAGAGAUAUGAGUUGUUACUAUGAGUUGAUAGUACAUUGAUUGCACGAAAACGCAUUUGGUAACUCGGUGCUAUAAAACGUGCCUUUGUGUAUGAUUCAACAAGUAGUAGAACAAGCCAUAUGAGUCGAAGUUUAUCCGUUCCUUUUACCUUCGGGAUAAAAGCGAUAUCUGUGGGCCCCUCGAUGAUUUGAUGAUGACAAAUGGAAGUGCUCGGCCGGGCCAGGACUGAUUUGAUUUGUUCAAUUAGUCAGUCGUCAUAAAUCGGAAAUCGGGAAACAACAAAUGGACAGAGAGAAUGAUUAUAAUCCAUGUCUCAGUCCAUAUGAUAUCUAGAAUGGAGGAAUAUAUGAUCCCUUAUCUAAUGGACAAGUCAUUGACAAAGGUCAGAGUUCAUCUACAAGGUCAGAGUUCGACAGAAGCUUUUGAGAGCUACGAUUGCCAGUUGGUUCCUGAAGUCAUACGCAAUAAUAGUUUUAGACUUAUCCAAGUGGGAGACUGUUGGAUUAAUGUCUAAGUCCAUAACUAUAAUUGGUAAGACUUGACCCGACCCGGCAUGGUCCAUUUGGGUUGCAUGGCAUCAUGCACUUGGAUAGACUAAAUGAGAGAAAUAAGACACUUAUGGUUAUUAAUAUAUUAUAAGUUCUAGUAUAUUAAUAAUCAGAAUAAUGAGAUUAUUUAAUUAGUAUUGAUCAAGAAUUAAUCUAGGAUUAAUUAAGUGAUCAAAAGAAGACUAAUUAAAUAUAUGGGUCGAUUGUGUAAAUCAUCCAUACUUGUAUAGUGGGCUAAUGCUCCAUGGAUAAUCAAGUUGGGAUAAAACCCAUAAGAUGGUCCAUGGAUGCUCCAUGGUGUAUUUGAACCCAUGGAUCCAAGGAAAUGGAAAGCCAUGACAAUUAAGGGUUUACCCUAAUUGUAACACUAUAUAAAGAUCACAUUCUUGGGAAAAAUCGGCCACUAGAGAGAGUAAGAAAGGGCUAGCCGAUUUUCAUGAAGUGUAGAAUUCUCUCAAGUCAUUCCAUUUGUAUUUGGUGUUGUGUGAACCAUUUGAGGUGUCACACUUGGGGCACUAGGCACUCAAGCUUCAUGAAGACUUUCUACAUCAAAGAGGUAUGUAUUCUAUCUUGUUACACUCAUUGUUUUGUAUGCUAGAUUAGGAUAAUACCUUGGAUGUUCUUAUUUGCAUGUAUAAUAGAGAAAACAUAGAUCCAAGGUAUUUAGGGUUGCAUGUACACUUAAGAGUGUUCGAAUGCUCAAAACCCAAUAGGUCCUAGUUAUGUUCUCCAUCUUUUUACUUUCUUUGAUAGGCAGGAAGUGUGCGGACUUGGUUAACCUGUCUAUGAUCACCCAUAUGGUAUCGAAACCACCCGUUGUCUUGAGCAACUUUGUUAUGAAGUCCAUCGUGAUCCGCUCCCAUUUCCACUCAGGUAUCUCCAGUUGUUGAAGUAAACCUGAUGGUUUUUGGUAUUCGACCUUAACCUUAGCGCAAUUAAGGCAUUUACUCACGAAGGUAGCAAUCUCUGCUUUCAUGUUAGGCCACCAGUAUUGCUUUUUAAGAUCCAUAUACAUCUAUCUAAAACUNAGAAUAUUGAGUAUUGUGCACUUCUAUAAUGACCAAGUCACUGAAUCCACCGUGCUUCGGUGUCCAGAUUUGAUCUAUGAGAUAUAAGGCUCCGCCACCUUUGACUUCCAAGUUCUUAUCCAUCCCUAUUAGGGAUUCAACCGCCACAUUUUCAGGUUUCAAGGCUUCGAGCUGAGACUUCUUAAUUUGUCUGGACAGUUGUGAAUGGAUAGUCAUAGUCAAUGAUUUGACUCUACGACCAGAGUAUUCUUUCUGACUUAGGGCGUUAGCUACUACGUUGGCUUUACCAAGAGGAUAACAAAUUUCACAUUCGUAAUCACUGAGUAGCUCGACCCACCGUCGUUGUCUCAUGUGGAGCUCCUUCUGGUGGAAUAUAUGUUGAAGGCUUUUGUGAUAUGUAAAGAUAGUGCUUUUGUACCGUACAGGUAGUGUCUCCAGAUCUUCAGAGCAAACAAAACUGCUCCUUACUAAAGAUCAUGUGUGGUGUAGUUGACCUGGUGUGUCUUUAGCUGCCUUGAGGCAUAUACGAUGACCUUACCUCGUUGCAUGAGAACACAACCGAGUCCUUGAUUUGAUGCAUCACAAUAAACUAUAAAGUCUUCUCUCCCAUCUGGGAGGGAUAGUAUGGGUGCGGUGCAUAAGGCUCGUUUUAGCAUUUGGAACGCCUUCUCUUGUUUCUCUUCCCAGUCAAAGGCCAAGCCUUUCCUGGUCAACGUAGUAAGUGGUUUCGCGAUCCUAGAGAAGUUUUAAAUCAACCUACGAUAGUAGCCAGCGAGGCCUAGAAAUUAGCGAAUUUUUGUAGGCGUGUUUGGUUCUGACCAGUUCUCAAUGGCCUUUAUUUUGGAAGGGUCCACAUGAAUUCACUCUUCACUAAAAAUGUAACCUAGGAAUUUGACUCUUCAAAUCAAAAACUCGCAGUUAGAGAACUUCGCGUAGAGCUUCUCUGAUCGUAAGGUUUCCAAGAUCUGACGUAGAUGCUUAAUAUGAUCUUCCUUACUAUGAGAGUAGAUAAGUAAGUCAUUAAUGAACACAACGACGAACCGAUCCAAAUAAGGAUGACAUACCCCAUUCAUUAAGUCCAUGAAUACUACGGGCACAUUAGUCAAUUUGAAUAGCAUCACUACAAACUCGUAGUGUCCGUAAUGAGUUCGGAAGGCUGUCUUGGGAACAUCCUCCUCUAGCACUCGUAAUUGGUGAUACCCGGAUCUCAGAUAUAUCUUUGAAAAGAAAUUCACCCCUUGCAGUUGGUUGAUCAAAUCGUCUACGCAAGGCAGAGGGUAUCGAUUCAUAACGGUAAGCUUGUUUUGUUCUCUGUAGUUAAUGCACAUACGAAACGAUCCAUCUUUCUUCUUCACAAACAAGACCGAUGCUCCCCAGGGUGAGAAGCUUGGUCUAAUAAAACCCUUGCUAAGAAGUCCGUUAAGUUGAUCGGAUAGCUCCAGCAUCUCAGCUGGUGCUAGACGAUAGGGCGAUUUGGCUACAGGGGUAGCUCCUGGAACUAAGUCGAUUCUGAACUCGAAUUGACACUGAGGAGGUAAUCUUGGUAGUUCUUCUAGAAAGAUGUCGGGAAAAUCAUGUACCAAUGGGAUGUUUUUUAUGUCCUUCAUCUCUAGGCUCACAUCGACAACAUGAGUAAGGAAUGCGCAACAUUCCUUUCGCAAGUACUUUUGGGCUUGAAUACUCGAGAUGAUACGAAGGUUCGUGUCGGGUUUGUCGCCAUAGACAACUAGAGUUUCACUAGACGGUAGAUUAAAGCGAAUAACUCUUUCAUAACACAUUAUGUCGGCACGAUAAAGACUCAACCAAUCCAUGCUAAUAAUGACGUCGAAACUUUAAUUGAGUCCAGUAUGAGGUCGAUUGAAAAUGAAUGGCUAUCUUGAGUUAGGGUACUUCCUAUGUAUAUACUGCUAGUGCUCCCAGUCUUUUCGUUAGCCAUUUCUACAGUGAACGGUUCUUUAAGUGCACGUGGUUUUUGCUUAAGUAAGUGAGCAAAUUUUUGGUUCACAAAACUCCUCUCCGCUCCACUAUCAAAUAGUAUGCAUGCAUAUGAGUUAUCGAGAAGAAUCGUACUGGUGACCACUGUGGGGUUGGCAACCGCUUCCUCGUGGCCUAUAGCCAAAACUCUUCCCACCCAGCCAGCGUUCCCUGCUUUCGGAUAGUUCCUCUUGUAGUGGCCCACCUCGCCACAUCUGUGGCAAGCCUGACCCACACCAACGCUGGGGACUUUGUUGAUCAGCCUUGUCGGAGCUUUGCAGAAACAGGUUGUGUGCCCUUUCUUGUUGUAGUUGGCGCACUGCAUUUCCCGACAGGGUCCAUUAUGGUGGAAGCUGCACUUGUUGCACUUUGGCAAGCUCCCAAAAUACUGCUUCAUCGGCGCAGUAGCAGUAGGGGUUAUCGCAGCAUGAACGGCUACGACUUGCUACUUUUUUGGCAGAACUCUGUGUCGUGAUCUUCUUCUUAUUAUCCCAGAACUUCUGCUUGUUAUCAACGGCUUUGGAGGGUUUAUGAUGGCUAGGGUUGUUGUUGUAUUUGGGGCGCGGACUCCAUGAUCAAUGAGUCGUUGUGCCUAUCGCUUGGAACUAUGGAAGGUAGUGGGGUUUGAAGGUAAAACAUUCCCCUGAAAUGGAGCCACCAACCCCCAGAUAUACCUCUCAACUUUCUUUCCCUCAGUAUGGACCAUUCCCGGACAUAGUGCUACCAGAUUGCUAAAUCUGGCAGUACAGGACACUAUGUCGGUGUCCUUCAUGAUCAGGCUCCAGAGUGCUUGUUCAGGUUUCUAAACUUCGCCCCUCGGGCGGUACUCUUCUAUCAUGAGCUUCUUCAGAGCUUCCCAACCCAUAUCAAUAGCUACUAUUAGAGUUAGUGACUUGACAUGGCUAUUCCACCAUGUCAGCGCUCUGUCCAAGAAGGUGCAUGCAGCAAAUUUGACUUUGCUUCCUUCCGGACAGGAAAAAAUCUCAAAGAUCGUUUUUGAUUUCUCGAACCAUUACGAGAGGUAAUGAUUCUGCCAGUCCCGUUGAUGGAUCUGGGCUUGCAGUUGGUGAAGUCCUUAUACCAGCACUCCCUAGAGCGCAUUAGAGAAUCACCUUGAGUGGAAUGCAUAGUUGUUCCACUCCCGCUAGUUCCACUAGCACUGAACUGAGUUAGGGCAGCUGUAACAGUUGCAUUUACCGCAGCUUGGAAAGCCGCCAGAUUGUAUUUUGGAGGAGGUGGAGGUGGUUACGUAGGAGUUAUCGGAGGGUUACGCCUUGUCACUCUCCAUGGAGGCAUCUUUUAACUAAAAGUUUACAAAGAUGAGGAUGAUAAUAAGGAUCAAUUGUAAGUUUAAUGAGUGUGGUCCAUGGACUAACUCUCCAUCGUCCAACAAAACAAAUGGAUGUAUGAUUGAUAUAGAGAUCUAGCAGUAGAUGUCUGAAAACACUUGGAUAUUGAUUCCUCAAAAGAUUAGAUAACUAUCAAUAAUAUUGGCAUUAAUGAUGUAACAAGUUUGGAAAAAUGACCUAAAAGUAGGUCUUACAUCAAACCACAACUAAGGGUAUUUCGACAGUAUAGUGAGCUAGCAAGAGUACUAGAAAAUUAGGAAUAUUUAUAGGGAAUAGCGCUACAUACUGUUGGAUUAAUGUCUAAGUCCAUAAUUAUAAUUGGUAACACUUGACCCGACCCGGCAUGGUCUAUUUGGGUUGCAUGGCAUCAUGCAUUUGGAUAGACUAUAAUGAGAGAAAUAAGACACUUAUGGUUAUUAAUAUAUUAUAAGUUCUAGUAUAUUAAUAAUAAGAAUAAUAAGAUUAUUUAAUUAGUAUUGAUCAAUAAUUAAUCGAGGAUUAAUUAAGUGAUCAAAAGAAGACUAAUUAAAUAUAUGGGUUGAUUGUGUAAAUCUUCCGUAACUUAUAUAGUGGGCCAAAGCUCCAUGGAUAAUCAAGUUGGGUUAAACCCAUAGGAUACUCCAUGGAUGCUUCAUGGAGGUUACAUAACCCAUGGAUCAUGGAAAUUAAAGGCCAUGUCAAUUAGGGUUUACAUGGUGUAACCCUAACUAUAUAAGCAUCUUAUUCUUGACCAAAAUCGGCCACUAGUGUGAGUAAGAAAGGGCUAGCCAAUUUUCAUGAAGUGUAGAAUUCUCUCAAGUUAUUCCAAGUGUAUUUGGUGUUGUGUGAACCAUUUGAGGUGUCACACUUGGGGCACUAGGCACUCAAGCUUCAUGAAGACUUUCUACAUGAAAGAGGUAUGUAUUCUAUCUUGUUAUAUUCAUUGUUUUGUAUGCUAGAUUAGGAUAAUACCUUGGAAGUUCUUAUUUGCAUGUAUAAUAGAGAAAACAUAGAUCCAAGGUAUUUAGGGUUGCAUGUACACUUAGGAGUGUUAGAAUGCUCAAAACCCAACAGUGGUAUCAGAGCCUAGGCUUGUUUUCAAUUAUACUUGAUGCAAAUUGCUGAAAAAUGCUGAAAAACUCGAUUUUCUGGCUUUCUGGGCACUGGACUCGCCGAGUCCACUAAUGAACUCGCCGAUUCCAUGAGUAAAAUUAUCCUACUCGUCGAGUAGGUUCAUGCACUCGAUGAGUAGGAGCCCUAGACAGCAUAUUUUCAAGGUUUUUGGCUAGAAAUGGACUAGGAACAUUACCCUAAGUUGUUUUUGGACUUAUAAACUUGUUUUUGAUGUGGUAAUGUUCAUGCUAAUCCAAUUUCAAAGAUAAUUGUCAAUAGAUUCAUGUUUUGUAUUAGUUUAAGGUUUAGACUAAUUACAUGAAAAAGUUUGAUUUGAAUUAUCUUGUUCUUAUGAGUUGCUUAGAUUAAUAGAAAAGUUGAGUGAAAUAGUUGUUUUCAAUCCAAAUUAAUCUAAGAGUUGAUUCUAAAAUGUGUUUUUGUAACUUGUCCUCAAGUUAUAUGAAAAGUCACAUUUAAGUUUCAUAAAACUCAUAAAAGUUGGCAAAGGUUACAAAAUGAAGAGUCUAGUUCUAAUUAAAUGGUUUUAUGACUCCAUAACUUGUCCUCAAGUUAUGGAGGACCAAGAGUCUCUUCAUUAAAUAAUAAAUAAAAAAAAAAGUGACCUGAAUUAAUUCCAUAAGUUAUAAAACAAAGAAAAGUUAAUUCUUUUAUUAGUUUAAAGUCUUCCAUAACUUGUCCUCAAGUUAUGGAACUUGAAGAGUUUUUGGAUUAAAACUACUUUAAACACAUAAGUUAUGGAAUUAAUUAGUUUUGAAUAGUUUCAAAACUUGCCCUCAAGUUUUGGAAUUUGUAAAGUUUUCACUUAUGAAUACUUUAAUUCCAAGUUAGCCCUUAGAAUUUUAAAAGUUAAAAUUCAACCCUUAUACUUUAUAAUAUUAUAAGUUAAUAAUAUAUAUAUGUAUAAGAGUAAAGUCAGUCUUACCGUUAGUAGGCCUCAUUCAUGAAGCCGGUCUAUAAGGGGGGUAUAAGGUUACUGCCUAUAAAAUGGCAGUUUAAUGGGUGUCCACUCUCACCCACCGCUUCCUUGACUGGUGGAGGGUCGUUAGCCGAACGGGUAGGACAAGGACUAUAAUUCUCCCUUCAUUAAAAGUAUUAAUUAUAAAUACUAAGUAACUAAACUCUUAAUAAUACCCAAUCUUAGAUACUUAGGAAAAUGUGAAUAAGGUGCUAAUCCAUGAAAUUACACUUUGGACUUUGUUUAAGUCGGUUAGUCGAGCGUGUCUGGUUAACUGGCACACUAACUCGUAUUUAGCAAGGUAGGCAAAUGGUAACUUAAUAUUUAUCAUAGUAUCAAUGGAGCGUGUGUGGUUAACCAGCACAUCGAUUGAGGGGUAAACACAUAAGGGUACCAAGUAAUUUGCAUGGUUACUUCACACCUUGUUUUGUGAUCCUCGGCAUCCUAUUCACAAAACCUGAAGGGCACACUCGAGAUUGAAACAUGCCAUUGAAAAGUUCAAUGAAUCUCAAAAGAUCUAAUAGUUUCAAAUCCAAUUAAAACCUAAUAGUACAUUUCGUUUUUCAUGGUUAACGCAAUCAAAGCUUUCGUCCUUGGCCGCUCUUCUAGAAGUUCUCUAUGUGAACAUAGGAUCCUAUAUAAACAAUCCGAAAUGCUAGACUAACUGUUCUAGAGGCAAACUUCGUGUGGAGCUAAUUGUUUGCAUUUCCCAUCUCAUGGAAAACGAUUCUAGUGAGUCCCCCUAUGGUGAACAAAAAUAUGGACCCUAGGCUCGCAGCUUCACUCAGCAGAAGAGCCUGACUUUCUAUUAGUCAAGCGCUAGCGCCCAACUGGGCUUUUAAGGGACAAGGAAAGGGAAGAAAAGAAAGAUGGUCACUCCUUUUAGGAACAUGGCUCGUUCAUUCUCACAAAGGGGGUCGCAGCGACCAGGCCCGGGCGACUGUUUACCAAAAACACAGGUCUCCGCAAAUUGGUGAAUCGUCAUUCACCUACCUUCAAAUAAUUUAUAGCUUGGAUUACGGCAUCCCUCUUCUAAGUUAUAAAAUAGUUUGUUGGGUCCUAGCCUUAAUAUUUCUUAUUGGGUGUCAUAUUAAGGACUUAAGAUCAACUAUCUUGAAUAUCUCCCAAAAGGUGUCUGGUUUAGACAUUUAUGAUCUUCCCAAAUCUCUUGAAACAAGCUUUCCUAAAUGAAGAUGAUAUCCCAUGGAAAUCAUACUUCUCUCACAUCCUCGAAUUAUUCUCCCUAACCCACAAGUUGAAGGUCACUCAAGCCCUAUUGGCAAGGUAAGGUCUAGGUGUGAUCACAUCUUGGAGAUGAAGUCACAUACUGACAAGCCGGGAGAGUUGGGUGUCAAAGUCUUGAGAAAGUUGGUGGUUCAACUACUUUCUAAGUCACAUAGUGAGUUCUUUUGGAACACCUAUGAAACAGACUAUGACAAGACCCUUAAUGAUCUUAUCUAUUUGCUAAGAUCAACUUCCUAAAACUUUAUGGACAUUGAUAAUGAUGACAUUGGAUAUCUAGUAAAGCUCUCUCUUCCCAGUGGAAAGGGAUCAGCCAUAGUCAACUCGGUUGACCAAAUGGUAAAGAGAAAAGCUAAGUCUGUGAUAGUCCCAUGUAUCUUUAUCAAAGGGUCCAUAUGUUUAUAUUGCCAAAGGAAGGGGCAUUGGUUGCGAAGCUGCCAAAUUUACCUAAGGAUGUUAAAGUCAAUAAGUUUGACUCUACUUCAGGUAAAGUCCACUAUCUAACUCUGUUAAGUUUCUAUUCUGAGAUUCUUGAUACAUGAUGUGACUGGGUCACAUGGUGAUGUUUUAAGAAUCAAAGAAAAGUAAAGAAGCCUAAAGAAAGAAUAUGUUGAAUCUGAUAGCGUAGUUUGAAGAUUGGAUUCUUGAGCUACUUCUU
rnacentral:lncRNA from 1 species